AGGGAUUUAGCUCAGCGGUGUGAGCGCCUGCCUUGCAAGCAGGCUGUCGUGAGUUCGAUUCCCAGUACCGA
rnacentral:tRNA from 1 species